GGGAAUAUUGCACAAUGGGCGAAAGCCUGAUGCAGCGACGCCGCGUGCGGGAUGAAGGCCUUCGGGUUGUAAACCGCUUUUAAUUGGGAGCAAGCGAGAGUGAGUGUACCUUUUGAAUAAGCACCGGCUAACUACGUGCCAGCAGCCGCGGUAAUACGUAGGGUGCAAGCGUUAUCCGGAAUUAUUGGGCGUAAAGAGCCCGUAGGCGGUUUGUCACGCCUGGUGUGAAAGUCCAUCGCUUAACGGUGGAUCUGCGCCGGGUACGGGCAGGCUAGAGUGCAGUAGGGGAGAUUGGAAUUCCCGGUGUAACGGUGGAAUGUGUAGAUAUCGGGAAGAACACCAAUGGCGAAGGCAGAUCUCUGGGCUGUUACUGACGCUGAGGAGCGAAAGCAUGGGGAGCGAACAGGAUUAGAUACCCUGGUAGUCCAUGCCGUAAACGGUGGAUGCUGGAUGUGGGACCCUUCCACGGGUUCCGUGUCGGAGCUAACGCGUUAAGCAUCCCGCCUGGGGAGUACGGCCGCAAGGCU
rnacentral:rRNA from 1 species